GGAGGCGAGUGGGCGCCUGGUGGCCCUCCCGGUCUUCAAAACCGGCGUGAUCCGGCAUCCGGGUCAGGCGGGUUCGAUUCCCGUACGCCUCCGCCA
rnacentral:tRNA from 1 species